rnacentral:misc_RNA from 1 species
GUCAGAUCAGAAGGAACCAGAUAUCUACAUGCAACAUUACAUCACAACUAAUGAGAAUUUUAUUAUACAGAAGCCAAACGCAAUCUGCCAGACACAAGAAAGUACAAUAAAGGUGACAAAUUGAAAGGAAAACCUAACAUUUCAGCUUCAAUCUUCUAAGCAAUAACUCUUUCAAAAUUAGAAGCAACUUUCUAGAAAGCUUUAAGUGAAUAGACAUAAACACACAUGCAUAUAUAUGCAAUUUGUUUAUGGUCUACGAAGUACGAAGAUAACAAUACAUAAAAACCCACAAAAAGUUAUGCAGCAUAAAAUCAUGUUCUCUACCAUAUUCACAAAGACCAUGCUAUACCAUGAGAUUUUACUAAGACAUCAAAGUAUCCAUCUCUAAAAUCUAAAUUCAAGAGGCAUUAACUACUUAUGCUUUCCAUUGAGUUGUUUAGCACACAAUUUUAUAGCAAGUUGCAUACACACAAAUUUGUCAUCAGCUAUCUAUUCCAAUGCUAGUCUAAUAUAUUCAAAUCAAAAUGCACUUUAUUUAUAACACUUGAAGAGACAGCUUCACUGGACAUCCAAACUACAAUUCUCUUGAUUUCCAUAAAUUUCAUCCAGCUUAUUUUAUUGUAAAUUUAACGGCUCUUUAUUUAAACUGCAGGAGGAAAAAGAUCUUUAAAACAAAGUUGCAGGACAGAACAAGUCAAAGAGGAAACUUAGCAAUGUAGACAUCACUAACUUCUUUUUGUCAAUG